UACAGAAGGGGCAUACGUUAUUCAUCUUUAUUAGGUGUAAAGGGCAAGUAGAAGGUUAUGUUUUAUUUUUAGUAGGAUGAAAUUUAAUUUUUUCACUUUUAUUUAAAGAUUUAUAACUUGAGUUAUUAAUUUAAUGGUAGAAUUUAUAAAGUAGUUUAAUAAACGUCGAGAUUAUAAAGAAUACCUAAAGCGAAAGUAGCCAUUAAAUAAUUACUGACUUUAAAUUGCGAUAGUCUGGGUAUCGAAUAAAG
rnacentral:rRNA from 1 species